rnacentral:lncRNA from 1 species
AUGGGUAUGUUACUUGGCUGCUGGAAAGGUCAUGUUACUGAAGACAAAGCAGAUACCUGUUACCACUAUUUUAAUGGUUUGAUGAUUCAGAGGCAUUGGAGAUAUACACAUAAAAAUAACAGAGUGCUUAAAGGAGACACAGCUAGUCAGAUAAGCAUUUGUAAAUAGUCCAGAACACCACGGGAGUGUAAACAGAACAUGAACACCUACCUCAAGCUCAAGCCAACACUUGAUCUGAAUCUUAAAGUCUCAGUGGGAGUUAACUAUGCAAACACAGAUGACAGAGGAAGGGCAUCAAAUUAUGAUGGAAUAGUGUGGACACAUGUAGAUGCAAGAAACAACCUUUGUGUUUCACAAUUCUAAGACGUUCCGUUAACAUUUUAUUCUGUGUGCACCAAUUUUUGCAGGACAGCAAUCAUGUGGGAAACAGCAUAAUUUAAUUUCAUUAGAUUUUGGAAAAGAAAGAGCUGGAGAAGUAGGCAAAGCCUACCCAUAGAAGAAUGUUUUGGAUUUUAGAAUAAUUAACACAAUGCAGGGGAUUCAGAUAUGGGAAAGAUGAAGUAAGAAUACUCCAUCCUGGAUUUUCCAUGGAAAGCAGCUAUAAAACCUGGACCGAGUGAAUGGAGAAGAUACUUUGAGUACUCUAAAAAAUAACUAGUAGCAGGAGGGGUGGCGAAGAAGGCCAAAAUUCAAUGUAUCACUGAAUCAGCAGUGAGUUUUUCAUUCUUUUUUACUUUGGUAUCCACGUGGCCUGGUGCAACCCACCCCAGAACCUGAAAGAACUCAAGAGAAGUACUCUAGUUGCAGCUUGAGUAGUAAGGACAGAUUUCCUAAUGGCCAGAGAGAAUACAGUAAAUGCUUAUUUGCAAAAUAUCUUAUAUUUCAGCCUGUAGCUUCUCACAAACACCUAGAAUUCUGAGUAGAACCUUCCUAUUGGAUAAAGAAGCUGUGCUUUGAAGAGGGAGGAGAAAACUCUUAUUUCUAUACCCCCACCCCUACCUUUUCUGUCCUCCACAGCUUAACCCCAGACCUGUGCACAGCAAAGGGGAGUAUGGAAGACUCUGGUGAAUAAAUCAGCUUUUGGAAUAGUAGGCUAAAAAGGGGAGUCCUAGGAAAUGAGAAGAUUUUGAGAUUUCAGAGAGGAAGGACUUCCAAAAAUUCACCUAAAAAUUAUUUGUGAAUUUCUGGACACACCCCAAGCUGUGCAUGCAUGGAUCUACUAAAACUAAAACCUUAAGAUUAUCCAUAUGGUUUAAGCAAGACUUAGUAUCUCAUAAGGUAAUACUCAAAAUAUCUGCAACACAAUCCAAGCAUUACUCAAUAUAUAAAGAAUCAGGAAAAUCUUAACUCGAGAGAAACAGAAAAUCAACAAAUGCUAGUUGGAAUUAUCUGACAGACUCAAAAUAGCUAUUUUUAAAAUGCUUCAGUAGGUUAAGGUAAACGUUGUUGAAAUAAAUGGGCAGGUAGAAAGUCUUAACAAAAACAAAUAGAAGAUAUAAAGAAGAAAUGACUGGAAAUUAAAAACAGAAAAACACAUUAACCAAAGUAAAAGUAUCACAGAAGGGGCUUACUAGCAGAAUGAAUAUGCUAGAAGAAAAAGUCAGUGAACUUGAAAUAUGUCAUUAGAAUUUAUUUAAUUUGAAAAACACAGAGAGAAAAGAUGGAGAAAAAGGAACAGAGUCUCGGUGACUAAUGGGAAAAUAUAAAAAUCUAACAUUUAUGUCAAAGAAGUCCCAGAAGGAGAUGAAAAAUAGUGUGCAGAGAAAAUAUUUGAAGAAAUAAUAGUAAGAAAGCCUCUCAAAUUUGACAAAACCCAUAAACUUACAGAUUUAAGAGGUUGAAUGAACUCCAAACAGAAAACAAAUGAACAAACAAACAAAGAAAUUCACACUUGGAGACAUUAUAAUCAAGCUGCUGGAAAGUAAACAAAAAAUAUUGAAGACGAAAGAGAAAAUGAUGCAUUACUUAGGAGAGCAACAAUUUCAAUGACUGUAGAUUUCUCAUCAGAAACCACAUUGUAGCCAAAAAAAAAAUAAAAAAGGCUGAAUAAUAUUCUUAUGUGUGUGUGUGUGUAUCCACACGCUGACGUUUUACAUAUCAACCAACAACCGAAGAAUGUACAUCCUUGUCUUCAAGUGGACAGAGAUCAUUCACCAAGAUAGAAUGUAUUCCAGGUCACAAAACAAAUUUAAAAAUUAAAAUCACUUGAAAUCA